rnacentral:lncRNA from 1 species
AACAAGACAAGACACAGAUUCAGACUUAUUUUCCAAGCAGUCCUAUGAACAUAUUCUCUCUAGGACAGCAAUACUCAUUCCAAGAAUAAACACAAAUAGAGCUAACAAUUUCCCACAAAAGUAAGCAUGUUACAUACGAUGACAAUCUCUCCAAGACAACAGACCACAAUCACGGGAACAAACUGGCAGGUACAAGUUACACACAGUCACCCCCACACUAUUUUGUGUUGAGUUACCAUUCCAUUGCUGAAGAGGAGAGCAAUC